rnacentral:rRNA from 1 species
AUUGAACGCUGGCGGCAUGCCUUACACAUGCAAGUCGAACGGCAGCGGGGGAGAAGCUUGCUUUUCCUGCCGGCGAGUGGCGAACGAGUGAGUAAUACAUCGGAACGUGCCCUGUAGUGGGGGAUAACUAGUCGAAAGAUUAGCUAAUACCGCAUACGACCUGAGGGUGAAAGUGGGGGACCGCAAGGCCUCAUGCUAUAGGAGCGGCCGAUGUCUGAUUAGCUAGUUGGGGGGGUAAAGGCCUACCAAGGCGACGAUCAGUAGCUGGUCUGGGAGGACGAUCAGCCACACUGGGGCUGAGACACGGCCCAGACUCCUACGGGAGGCAGCAGUGGGGAAUUUUGGACAAUGGGCGAAAGCCUGAUCCAGCAAUGCCGCGUGUGUGAAGAAGGCCUUCGGGUUGUAAAGCACUUUUGUCCGGAAAGAAAUGGCUCUGGUUAAUACCUGGGGUCGAUGACGGUACCGGAAGAAUAAGGACCGGCUAACUACGUGCCAGCCGCCGCAGUAA